UUUUACUGCAAAAUAUACCUGGAAAACCUGCUCGCCAGUGCCUAGGUCUCUUAACUUGUCAGAAGUUAAGCAAGGCCAGGUUUGGUUAGUACUUGGAUGGGAGACCACUGGGGAAGACAGGUGUCACAGUGGGGC
rnacentral:rRNA from 1 species